ensembl:lncRNA
AACAUUACCUCAUAUUUUUAAUAGAGGCAGGCACCAUUUCAAAUUAACCCUUUUUGGUUAUGAAUUCUUGACAGAAAUAAGUAUUGAACAACAUCCACCGUAUAUCACAUUAGGGUGGAGAACACGAUGCCUUGCCCACUUAAAAAAUUCACCAAUGCAUUUUUGGGUAUGUUGGAGUUACACAACGAAAUGCAACUGAAAAGAAGUACUGGGCAGAGCCCAAGACGGCACAUCGAGCCAUGAACAAAUUGGUGUUCUCUCUUCUUUGCUGAAUUACGGAACCUCAGGUGUUGGAAAGGACCUCUGGAGAUCACCCAGUCUAACCCCCUGCUUCAGCAGGUUCCCUACAGCAGAUCACACAGCUAGGCAUCCAGGACAAAAUUAUCUAAAACAGUGUGUCCUUGAGGACAGAACUGCUGAGGGCUCUCUAUGGAAAUCUAUGAACAAAGUGAACACUGAUUUUGGAGGAAGAGAGGCAAAAAGCAAGAAAAGACCAUGGAUUAGAGAAGUAAAGAUUGAAAGGGCAAGGAGGAAAUGAAAGGCCUCAGCUCAAUUCUGUAGUGAAUCAACAACCUUUCUCAAAGAGGAAAAAAGAAAACUAGCAUGUAUGGCUAGAAAGUGGCUAGAUGGUGUCACAGAACUCAAGAAUGAGAAAGUUCUGAGAAUACAACCUCACACUGCACCUCCUGGUGAAGAAUGAGACUGUCUUGUUUGAAGAUAGUAGGAAGACUGUGACUUCUUGCUCAUAAUGUGGAAUUUACUCUUUCCU